GAGUGAGUCCACACUUGUUGCACCAGUUGUUGAUACAAUGAGGAGGUUCUGUCAAUUAAGAUGGUUCACCCAGAGGACAAAAAGUCGUAGAAAGGCUAGGGUGACCAAGUAUGGAUGUUGGGAGAGAGCUUCGUUAGAGAGGGAAAGUGUCUUGAUCCCUGUUCUUGGUUUCUAUAAGCCUUUAAAGGAUUCUCUUAGAUAGUUCUUGAUGUUCCACAAGUUGCUGUCGGG
rnacentral:lncRNA from 1 species